AAUUUCCUUUGCUUGAUACACUGCCAAUUGCCUUGCGAAUAGAGAAAGUAGAACCAAUUUCCAUCAACACAAACAACUGCAAGUGAUAUUCUGAUAAUAACAGCACAAGCCACUUUUACCAUUUUGAAAAACACAAAACCCCUCUCUUUUAUAAUUUUAUUUCUUUCAAAGCCAGUAAAUCCCCUCGCAAAAUCGUAAUACCAAAAAAAAAAUCUCCCAUUAAAAGAAAAAAAAGUCUCACAUCUACCUAAAUAAGAUGCAAUAAGCAAUCGCAUACACAACAAAAACACAUAGCCGUUCAUUCAAAGUACCAUGUUUGACACCCAUGUCAUAAUACACACGCACAUAUACAGAAUACAUAUAUGGUACCUGGCUUUUCCUUCUUACAGGGU
rnacentral:misc_RNA from 1 species